rnacentral:rRNA from 1 species
UACGAAGGGUGCUAGCGUUGUUCGGAAUUACUGGGCGUAAAGCGCGCGUAGGCGGCUUUCCAAGUCAGGGGUGAAAUCCUGGGGCUUAACCCCAGAAUUGCCUUUGAAACUGGAAAGCUUGAGUGUCGGAGGGGAUAGCGGAAUUGCUAAUGUAGGGGUGAAAUUCGUAGAUAUUAGCAGGAACACCGGUGGCGAAGGCGGCUAUCUGGACGACAACUGACGCUGAGGCGCGAAAGCGUGGGGAUCAAACAGG